CCUAGCUUAUUGUUUAGAGGUCUGUCUCCCAAGACAGACUAAUGAAGGGCAGUAACUUGGGCUACACGCUUACCCAUAAUGUAGCAAAAGUGCUACAAUAAAAUACAAUGGCGAUAGUUAGUAGCUAUAAAAGGUGUGUGGGAAGCCCUUUCGCGAAUAUUGGAGCCAUGGUGGAUAAAUAAUUAUGGAUAAGCUAGCCGGU
rnacentral:ncRNA from 1 species